AUUAAUUCGAUGCAACGCGAAGAACCUUACCUGGGCUUGACAUACACCAGAUCGGCGCAGAGAUGCGUUUCCCUUGUGGUUGGUGUACAGGUGGUGCAUGGUUGUCGUCAGCUCGUGUCGUGAGAUGUUGGGUUAAGUCCCGCAACGAGCGCAACCCUUGUCUUAUGUUGCCAGCACGUGAUGGUGGGGACUCAUGAGAGACUGCCGGGGUUAACUCGGAGGAAGGUGGGGAUGACGUCAAAUCAUCAUGCCCCUUAUGUCCAGGGCUUCACACAUGCUACAAUGGUCGGUACAACGCGUGUGCGACACUGUGAGGUGAAGCUAAUCGCUCUAAAGCCGGUCGUAGUUCGGAUUGGGGUCUGCAACUCGACCCCAUGAAGUCGGAGUCGCUAGUAAUCGCAGAUCAGCAACGCUGCGGUGAAUACGUUCCCGGGCCUU
rnacentral:rRNA from 1 species